CGGGCUAGAAUGCCCUUGACAGGUGCAGAGAUGUGGAAGUGCCUUCGGGAACCGUGAGACAGGUGCUGCAUGGCUGUCGUCAGCUCGUGUCGUGAGAUGUUGGGUUAAGUCCCGCAACGAGCGCAACCCUUGUCCUUAGUUGCCAUCAUUCAGUUGGGAACUCUAAGGAGACCGCCGGUGACAAACCGGAGGAAGGUGGGGAUGACGUCAAGUCAUCAUGGCCUUUAUGGCCAGGGCUACACACGUGCUACAAUGGCAGGUACAGAGGGAAGCCAACGCGCGAGCGGGAGCUAAUCCCAGAAAGCCUGUCGUAGUCCGGAUCGGAGUCUGCAACUCGACUCUGUGAAGUUGGAAUCGCUAGUAAUCGCAGAUCAGCAUUGCUGCGGUGAAUACGUUCCCGGGUC
rnacentral:rRNA from 1 species